CCUCCUGUAGCUCAACGGUAGAGCAAUCGGCCGAUAACCGAUCGACGCAGGUUCAAUUCCUGACUGGAGGACCA
rnacentral:tRNA from 1 species